rnacentral:rRNA from 1 species
UGAGAAAUGGCUACCACAUCUAAGGAAGGCAGCAGGCGCGUAAAUUACCCAAUCCUAAUUCAGGGAGGUAGUGACAAGAAAUAACAACUCGGACCUCACACGAGGUUACGAGAUUGCAAUGAGAUCAAUUUAAACCUCUUAUCGAGUAACAACUGGAGGGCAUGUCUGGUGCCAGCAGCCGCGGUAAUUCCAGCUCCAAUAGCGUAUAUUAAAGUUGUUGCAGUUAAAAAGCUCGUAGUUGAAUUUCUGGCCGGCGCUGUUCACGGCUCUCGCAGUCGGUUCAGGAGCCUGGUCAUCCGUAUGGGAAGCUAGCUCGUCCUUCGGUGGUCGGCUAGUGGAUCAUACACUUUACUUUGAAAAAAUUAGAGUGUUUCUGGCAGGCAAUUGCUUGGAUACUGCAGCAUGGAAUAAUGGAAUAGGACUUUGACCUAUUUGUUGGUUUCUUGAGGUCAAAGUAAUGAUUAAUAGGGACAGUUGGGGGCAUCCGUAUUUAAUUGUCAGAGGUGAAAUUCUUGGAUUUAUUAAAGACGAACUUAUGCGAAAGCAUUUGCCAAGGAUGUUUUCA